GACGAACGCUGGCGGCGUGCUUAACACAUGCAAGUCGAACGGAGUGGCGAACGGGUGAGUAACCCGGGGGUGACCUGCCCUGCACUUCGGGAUAAUCCUGGGAAACUGGGUCUAAUACCGGGUAGUGGGGGAUGGGCCCGCGGGGUAUCGGGUUGUUGGUGGGGUAAUGGGUUACCAGGGCGGCGGCGGGUAGCAGGCCUGAGAGGUUGGACGGCCACAUUGGGACUGAGACACGGCCCAGAAUCCGACGUGAGGCAGCAGUGGGGAAGAUUGCACAAUGGGCGGAAGCACGAUGCAGCGACGCUGCGUGGGGGAUGACGGCCUUCGGGUUGUAAACUCCUUUCACCAUCGACGCGGUAGAUGGAGAAGAAGCACCGGCUAACUACGUGCCAGCAGCCGCGGUAAUAC
rnacentral:rRNA from 1 species